CGAACGCUGGCGGCAGGCUUACACAUGCAAGUCGAACGGGCCCUUCGGGGUCAGUGGCAGACGGGUGAGUAACGCGUGGGAACGUGCCCUUCAGUUCGGAAUAACCCAGGGAAACUUGGGCUAAUACCGGAUACGUGCGAGAGCAGAAAGAUUUAUCGCUGAAGGAUCGGCCCGCGUCUGAUUAGCUAGUUGGUAGGGUAAUGGCCUACCAAGGCGACGAUCAGUAGCUGGUCUGAGAGGAUGAUCAGCCACAUUGGGACUGAGACACGGCCCAAACUCCUACGGGAGGCAGCAGUGGGGAAUAUUGGACAAUGGGCGCAAGCCUGAUCCAGCCAUGCCGCGUGAGUGAUGAAGGCCUUAGGGUUGUAAAGCUCUUUCGUCCGGGACGAUAAUGACGGUACCGGAAGAAGAAGCCCCGGCUAACUUCGUGCCAGCAGCCGCGGUAAUACGAAGAGGGCUAGCGUUGUUCGGAAUCACUGGGCGUAAAGGGCGCGUAGGCGGCUUUGUAAGUCGGGGGUGAAAGCCUGUGGCUCAACCACAGAAUUGCCUUCGAUACUGCAUGGCUUGAGACCGGAAGAGGUAAGUGGAACUGCGAGUGUAGAGGUGAAAUUCGUAGAUAUUCGCAAGAACACCAGUGGCGAAGGCGGCUUACUGGUCCGGUUCUGACGCUGAGGC
rnacentral:rRNA from 1 species